ACGAACGCUGGCGGCGUGCCUAACACAUGCAAGUCAACUUGACUGAAGGAGCAAUCUGACAGUAGAGUGGCGCAAGGAUGCGUAACGCGUAAGUAACUUGCCCCAAGGUAAGGAAUAACGUCGAGAAAUCGGCGCUAAUACCUCAUAAUGCAGCGGAUCCGCAUGGAUAUGUUGUUAAAGGUUUACCGCCUUGGGAUAGGCUUGCGUCUGAUUAGUUAGUUGGUGUGGUAACGGCACACCAAGGCUACGAUCAGUAACUGGUCUGAGAGGAUGAUCAGUCACACUGGAACUGAGACACGGUCCAGACUCCUACGGGAGGCAGCAGUGAGGAAUAUUGGGCAAUGCUCGAAAGAGUGACCCAGCAACGCCGCGUGGAGGAUGAAGGUAUUCUAUAUCGUAAACUCCUGUGGGAGCAGACGAAAGACAGAUUAUUAAUCUGGAUGACUGUAUGCUCAGAGGAAGCCCCGGCUAACUACGUG
rnacentral:rRNA from 1 species